rnacentral:rRNA from 1 species
CGAGCAAUCUGCCCUUCUCAUCGGAAUAAGCGUUGGAAACGACGUCUAAUGCCGAAUACGACCUCCUUUCGCAUGAUCGGAGGUGGAAAGCUCCGGCGGAGAAGGAUGAGCUCGCGGCCUGUCAGCUAGUUGGUGUGGGUAAUGGCCCACCAAGGCGACGACGGGUAGCCGGCCUGAGAGGGUGACCGGCCACACUGGGACUGAGACACGGCCCAGACCUCCGUACGGGAGCAG